rnacentral:rRNA from 1 species
CCUACGGGUGGCUGCAGUGGGGAAUAUUGGACAAUGGGCGAAAGCCUGAUCCAGCCAUGCCGCGUGUGUGAAGAAGGCCUUCGGGUUGUAAAGCACUUUCAGUGGGGAAGAAAGCCUUGGGGCUAAUACCCUCGAGGAAGGACAUCACCCACAGAAGAAGCACCGGCUAACUCCGUGCCAGCAGCCGCGGUAAUACGGAGGGUGCGAGCGUUAAUCGGAAUUACUGGGCGUAAAGCGCGCGUAGGCGGUCUGAUAAGCCGGUUGUGAAAGCCCCGGGCUCAACCUGGGAACGGCAUUCGGAACUGUCAGGCUAGAGUGCAGGAGAGGAAGGUAGAAUUCCCGGUGUAGCGGUGAAAUGCGUAGAGAUCGGGAGGAAUACCAGUGGCGAAGGCGGCCUUCUGGACUGACACUGACGCUGAGGUGCGAAAGCGUGGGUAGCAAACAGGAUUAGAUACCCUUGUAGUC